AUUGAACGCUGGCAGCAGGCCUAACACAUGCAAGUCGAGCGGAUGAAGGGAGCUUGCUCCUGGAUUCAGCGGCGGACGGGUGAGUAAUGCCUAGGAAUCUGCCUGGUAGUGGGGGAUAACGUCCGGAAACGGGCGCUAAUACCGCAUACGUCCUGAGGGAGAAAGUGGGGGAUCUUCGGACCUCACGCUAUCAGAUGAGCCUAGGUCGGAUUAGCUAGUUGGUGGGGUAAAGGCCUACCAAGGCGACGAUCCGUAACUGGUCUGAGAGGAUGAUCAGUCACACUGGAACCGAGACACGGUCCAGACUCCUACGGGAGGCAGCAGUGGGGAAUAUUGGACAAUGGGCGAAAGCCUGAUCCAGCCAUGCCGCGUGUGUGAAGAAGGUCUUCGGAUUGUAAAGCACUUUAAGUUGGGAGGAAGGGCAGUAAGUUAAUACCUUGCUGUUUUGACGUUACCAACAGAAUAAGCACCGGCUAACUUCGUG
rnacentral:rRNA from 1 species